CAGCAGUAGGGAAUAUUGGUCAAUGGGCGAAAGCCUGAACCAGCCAUGCCGCGUGUCAGAUGAAGGUCCUCUGGAUUGUAAAUGACUUUUCUACGGGAAGAAUGAGCCGUCUGCGGACGGAAGUUGACGGUACCGUAGGAAUAAGCACCGGCUAACUACGUGCCAGCAGCCGCGGUAAUACGUAGGGUGCAAGCGUUGUCCGGAUUUACUGGGGUUUAAAGGGUACGUAGGCGGUUGUGCCAAGUCGUGGGGUGAAAGUUUGCAGCUCAACUGUAAAAUUGCCUUGGAUACUGGUCGGCUAGAGUAGUGGAGCGGUGGCUGGAAUUUAUAGUGUAGCGGUGAAAUGCUUAGAUACUAUGAGGAACACCAAUUGCGAAGGCAGGUCACUGGUCACUAACUGACGCUGAGGUACGAAAGUGUGGGGAUCAAACAGGAUUAGAUACCCUGGUAG
rnacentral:rRNA from 1 species